GGUCUGUUAGUUUAAUAUUAGAAUUGCGGUUUUGUAAUCCGUAGGUGGCACUUGCCAUAGUCCU
rnacentral:tRNA from 1 species